CCUACGGGGGGCUGCAGUGGGGAAUAUUGCGCAAUGGGCGAAAGCCUGACGCAGCGACGCCGCGUGAAGGAAGAAGGCCUUCGGGUUGUAAACUUCUUUUGUAAGGGACGAUUGUGACGGUACCUUACGAAUAAGGACCUGCUAACUACGUGCCAGCAGCAGCGGUAAUACGUAGGGUCCGAGCGUUGUCCGGAUUUAUUGGGCGUAAAGAGUAUGUAGGCGGUUUCUUAAGUCGGAUUUUAAAUCUCCAGGCUUAACUUGGAUUUUGGAUUCGAAACUAGGAAACUACGAGGAUGGCAGGGGCAAGUGGAAUUAGUGGAGUAGCAGUGAAAUGCGUUGAUCUCACUAAGAACACCAAUGGCGAAGGCAGCUUGCUAGGUCAUCUCUGACGCUGAGAUACGAAAGCGUGGGUAGCGAACGGGCUUAGAUACCCGGGUAGUC
rnacentral:rRNA from 1 species